rnacentral:lncRNA from 1 species
UAACAUCUUACUUCAACAAGCUAAAUAAAUUAUGGUAUGAAUUGGGUUCAUGCAUUUAUCUCGUGGUAGUUCUUGCACAUGUACUACUAAAUCUAAGCUCCAAAGAGAAGAUGAUGAGAACAAGUUGCAUUAGUUUCUCAUGGGGCUUAAUGAGACCUUGUUGGAGUUAGAAGUAAUCUACAUAUGAUGAAGCCUCCUCCAUCUCUUGACAUUGCCUGCA